rnacentral:rRNA from 1 species
GACAGAGGGUGCAAACGUUUGUUCGGAAUUACUGGGCGUAAAGCGCGUGUAGGCGGCUAAGUAAGUCGGGCGUGAAAUCCCACGGCUCAACCGUGGAAGUGCACUCGAAACUGCAUAGCUAGAGUCCUGGAGAGGAAGGUGGAAUGCUUGGUGUAGAGGUGAAAUUCGUAGAUAUCAAGCGGAACACCGGUGGCGAAGGCGGCCUUCUGGACAGUGACUGACGCUGAGACGGCGAAAAGCGUGGGGAGCAAACA